rnacentral:tRNA from 1 species
UGAAUAGUAUUUAAAAAAUAUAAAAUCUAAUUUGCAUUUAGAAAUUGCUAUAGCCUAUUCCA